GGACACACCCCUGGAGAGACUCUUUAUAAAAGGGCAUCGAAGAAGAAACCUGAUUAGUCGGGGAAACUUUCAGAUAAAAGGACAGGGUAUAAAUU
rnacentral:ncRNA from 2 species